rnacentral:rRNA from 1 species
CUAGACAUCCUUCAUGUUUUUGGAAAGUGCACAUGCCUACACAUAAAUCCAUCAAUGUCUUCAGCACUGCCAAUUAGAUGUGCCGGACUAGGCCUCACAACCAUACUACAGAAUUUUGGUGGUAUGAUAGCUCAGUUCCCAACUACAUACCUAGGCUUUCCAAUCAUACUCUCGAGGUUGAGGCUGGCGAAUUCGCAAUUCAUCCUAGAUAGGAUCAAAGCUAGUCUAGUAGGUUGGAAAGGGAAGAUGAUGCCCAUAGCUAGUAGGAGAGUGCUUGUCAGUUGUGUUCUCAGCGCCAUGCCAACCUCCGCACUAUCUAUUCUUCGGGUGCCAAAGAAGCUGUUGAAGGAGAUUGAUAAGUGUAGGCAGAAUUUUUUGUGGAAGCAGGACAAGGAGAUCACCGGUAGAAGCUGCAAGGUCAACUGGCCAACUGCCUGCACGUCCACUUCGCGCAGGGGUCUUGGCAUCCUGGACCUGGAGCGAUUUAGCCGUGACCUUAGACUACGUUGGCUCUGGAUCGCUUGGAAGGCCCCUGAGCGGCCAUGGGUUGGCACCCAACCCCCCUUCAGCGACGACGACAAGGCCCUAUUUGCAGCUGCAACAACAGUCAUCGGUGAUGGAUCAACAUCAUUGUUCUAG